rnacentral:misc_RNA from 1 species
CUGAAGUGAUCCACGUUAGAAUAAUAUCUUAUUAGAAGUAAACAUGACUGCAUGAUUUCAAACAAGCUGAUUAGAAUCUUCUUUGCUGUUUUAUGAAAUUCUUUCAACCUGCUCAGGUUCAAAUUGUAAAAUCUGUCAUACUAUUUUACAUUUAAUCAUUGUAUGUGAAACCUAUCUAUUCAUGGUGCCAAAUCCAAAUUUUCUUUUGUGGG